AGUAGAACUCAGGGUCCUGCAACAUGAAAGCAAGCUGCCUAGUCCUAGUGAGGACAGGUUUUACAAACAAAACUAAGGCAAAUCAAGGGAACAAGAUAAAAGGGUUACAUGUUCUAUCUAGAAACACAGCAAGCAUGAUCACAGCUGAUGAGGGAUUGAACUUGGGAAGUGAUUAAAACAGGGGUCGGAAACAAGGGCAAAACCCUAGCAAAGACCUGUGGUGGCUUUUCUAACCCCACAAGAAGAAGAGAAAUCAAAUUUCACAAGCAAAAUGCAUGUGGGAAGCUAAAUUUGGUCCGGAGAUCAGAUUUUCCAUCAACCCUGCGUGAUCCACCUGCUUCAGCCUCCAAGGUUCUGAGAGUACAGGUGUGCAUCCUUUUGUCGGAUGCUCCCAAUCCAUACAUAAAUGAUACAUCUUCGCUGAUCUCGGCUAGCAGUGCCAUGUCACUUCUGCAGCUGAUCGGAAAAUAAACUCUUACGCUCUGCUA